rnacentral:lncRNA from 1 species
UCAGCUAUUCUGGAAUCUUGACUUGAAUCUUCAUGACUUCUCAAAUGGUGAGAUAGUCGUUAUUUUGAGUUGAACUUGAAACAUAAAAUGUUCCACCUUGUUGGCUUUUGACAUUAGAGAGGAACUUGAUAAUUGAUUUAUUUUUCAUACUUUUUUCUGGUUUGAACUUGAAAAUCUUAUCCUAUUCUUCAGGUGGGCUCCUGACUUGCAACUGAUAAUGUUCACCCUAUUCUUCAGGUGGGCUCCUAACUUGCUAUUUUUUUCAUCCUGUUCUUCAGGUGGGCUCCUAACUUGUUACUUCUUCACCCUGUUCUUCAGGCGGGCUCCUGGACUUGCAACUUCUUCACCCUGUUCUUUAAGCGGGCUCCUGGACUUUCUUUUUUCUUCACUCUGUUCUUCAGGCGGGCUCCUGGACUUUCUUUUUCUUCACCCCGUUCUUCAAACGAGCUCCUGGACUUACUUUUUUUAAUUUCCCAAACAUAUUCCUAAACUCAAAAUAAAAGGUGUAAUAGAAAAACAACAUUCCAUUCUCCAGGAGGGUCCUGAACAAAAAUAAAUUCCUAUUCUUCAGGAGGAUCCUGAGCAGAAAAUAAAAUCCAGCGAACACGAAUAAAUUUUUGCCCCAGUUUAUACUUAUAAAAUGACUCGACUAAAAGGUACGUCUUAUAGGAAUCAAGCGUAAUGACUCGACUAAAAGGUACGUUUUAUAGGAAUCAAGGGUAAUGACUCGACUAAAAGGUAUGUCUUAUAGGAAUCAUAACGAGUGACUCAUCUAAAAGGUACGUCUUAUAUGAAUCAAGGAGAAUGACUCAACUAAACGGUUUGUCUUAUAGGAAUCAAGAAGAUGACUCAAAUAAAAGGUACGUCUUAUAGGAAUCACGGAGAGUGACUCGACUAAAAGGUUAGUCUUAUAGGAAUUAAGGGGAUGACUCGACUAAAAGGUUAGUCUUAUAGGAAUCACGGGAAGUGACUCGACAAAAAGGUUCGUCUUAUAGGAAUCAAGGGGAUGACUCGACUAAAAGAUACGUCUUAUAGGAAUCACAGGGAAUGACUCGACUAAAAGGUUCAUCUUAUAGGAAUCAAGGGGAUGACUCAACUAAAAGGUACAUCUUAUAGGAAUCAUGGGGAAUGACUCGACUAAAAGGUGCGUCUUAUAGGAAUCAAGGGGAUGAUUCAGCUAAAAGGUACGUCUUAUAGGAAUCACGAAGAGUGACUCGACUAAAAGGUUCAUAUUAUAGGAAUCAAGGGGAUGACUCAACUAAAAGGUACGUCUUAUAGGAAUCACGGACUAAAAGGUUCAUCUUAUAGGAAUCAAGAAGAUGACUCGACUAAAAGGUACGUUUUAUAGGAAUCACGGGGAGUGACUCGACUAAAAGGUUCAUAUUAUAGGAAUCAAGGGGAUGACUCGACUAAAAGGUACGUCUUAUAGGAAUCAUGAGGAGUGACUCAACUAAAAAGUUUAUCUUAUAGGAAUCAAGAGGGAUGACUCGACUAAAAGGUAUGUCUUAUAGGAAUAAAAGGGAUGACUCGACUAAAAGGUUAGUCUUAUAGGAAUCAAGGAUAAUAACUCUACUAAAAGGUACGUCUUAUAGGAAUCACGAGGAGUGACUCGACUUAAAGGUUCGUCUUCUAGGAAUCAAAGUUCAAUUUAAGCAGUAUAUCACCUAGAAAUUGCAAAUUGAAAUAUCUGGACAAAGAAGUAUGCCUCUGAGGGAUAUAGGAUAAUGAAUUUUUACCUUAAUUUGAUUAUCAAACCUGUGCAACAACAUUACUUCCUAUAUUUAUGAAAAAUGAGGCAUUGUAGCCCUUGAUAUUUAUGCUCUGAAGUCCUUGAUUUAAAGGUAACAUGUUUCUUGUUUCAUCAAAGAAAACUUGUGAGUUCAAAAAUAUGGUCGCAGGUUUGUGGCUUUAAUUUUCGUGGCUAUCACUUUUGCCCUCUUCACAUUUAACCUUGCUUCUAACCAUUAGCAUCUGUCACCGACUUACAUCAUCGUUGACCCAAACUCAGAUGAUUAGAAGUGACUGAAAUAAACACAGUAUCUUUGCUUUGUCAUGCUCCUCAAAUAAACCCUUUAAACCUUGAUAUUUUCAUGAGUUCCCAGACUCGUCUGUUGAUAAAACUUUUCUGCAUGCCUUAUUUUGGCUCACAAUCAUGUCUCUUUCAUGUGUUGGCUUUUUGUCUUACUUUGUGCAAUUGAAGAAGCUGGUAGCCAGUUUUGAAAUCUUUUCUCACUUGUUAUAACACAGACUCGACUCAGAGACACAAGAAAAAUGACAAUAAUUUUUAUUUGAUGAUAAAGAUACCAAAAAAUUAAAAAUAGAAAAAUAAAAGAAGAGGAAAAAAACAAUAGGCAUUUUUUUUUAAAAUGACAGAAGAAAACUUAUUUGGGUGUGGUAGCCGAUUCCAGCAAUCAUGACAUGCACUUUGAAUUAGACAACCUGAUCUACCCACACUAAUCAUUACAACCCUUUUCCACUUAUUGAGUUUGAAAUGGAAUUAAUCUUGAAUAUGCUCCCUCUAGAUCACAAUCCUCCUUCAGCUAGUGGUAGCUCAAUGAGUUUUUGCCAAUGCCUAACUCAUUUUCAUCUUUUUCUCAACUCACUAUCGCCUUAUGGUUCCUAAAAGAGUUUACACCUAUAAGACUCUCUCAUUUUUACUCAUUCAUUUUUCAUUUUUUUAAAAAUAAUGCCCAACAUACUAAACAUCAUGCACUCAUAAAUGUUUAGCCUUGACAUUCUCAAAGAUCAAUCUGAAGGUCUUUCUUUGAUUGUAACUUAGCUUUUGGAAAAGUUUAGAAAGAAAAGGAGGCAUGAGGCUAAAAAAUUUACAUAAUAUUAGGUGAAACAUACAACUUUUAGAAUUGACUCUUUUAAGAAAAUAAACUUUGCCCCAGUUUCAUUUCAUUCUGGGUUGUUUGAAUUUUCUUUUGGUUUGAUCGAACCUCAGAGUAGGCUGCCUAUAUAUCUUGUCAUAGCAAGAAUCAGGUCAAAUGUAGUUCAUAUAUCUUGUUCUUUUUCUUGAUUUUCUUUUCUUUUUUUCUUGACUUUUCUCUCUUUUUCUUCAUUCUUUUUGAGAGAGAGAUUUUUCCCGACUCCAUUUUUCCUUGACAUUUUUCUGACUCUAUUAUUUUUCUUGACACUUAUUUUUUAUUUUUAACUUUUUCAAAUUCUAUUUUAAUUCCAAAAGAGGGGUACGAAAGAAAAUAACACUAAAGCUCAAAAGGGGUAACAAGGAUGACACAACAUUUGAAUAACAGAAUGAAAUGUCUUCGUCAUAUCAAUCCUUAAAAAUGCAAGUACGUAACAUGUAAUUUAGGAAUGAAAUAUGAAGAUCAUAAGCAUCUUUUCAAUAUUGACCGUGACUAAGCACAUGCACGUGUAUCACUUGUUUUAAACUUAUAAACCAUACAGGUCCACUUGUAUUGUACUUUCCUCAGAACAGAUGACUCUUUUUUUUUAUCUAACUUCUUUUUACUUCUUCUGACAAUAGAAACUAUAUAUCCUCUGGUUGAUCUCAUUCAAAAAUACUUGAGUUGAACCUUCUAAUUGAAGAUCAACUUAUUCUUUAUUUGCAAAGUGAUUGCCUCAAAACAUUCAAGUGAGGAUGUAACUAGGUCCCCAAAACAUCUCAGCAUUUUACUUAUUUUUCUUACACAUUUUUUUCAACUCUAGGUUCUUGAUAGAAUGUUUCAGCAGUAGAUUGGGUUUUAAUAUCUGGCUUAAAAUUCAAUAUGCUUAUCAUAUUACCAGAAUGACCAUACAAAGAUCUCUUUGAAGAAGAAAAAAGAUGAUAUAUAUUGAGAAAUACAAAAACACAAAAGGGACAUGCAUUUUGUUGACAGAAAUAUAGAAGGGUUUGAACAAAAAUGAUUAGAAAAUCAGACAAGAUAGGUCCUAAACUACAACCCUAAAAUAAUUCGGGUAACAGAAAAGAAAACAAAACAAAUUACUAGACCUCUUCCUAGCAGGGAGAGGAGUGACUUCCCAAUUGCUGAGCUUGACCUCUUAGCCACCAAUUUGCGUACCAUCAUGACUAGAGCUUUCCUCAUUGUCAAUGUUCUACAUCAUAAUUGAUCUAUCUUGAAUCAUCUUUUCAAUUUCUCUUUUUAAAUCUCGACAAUCUUCAAUACUAUGACCCUGAGCAUCAGAAUAAUUUGCACAUCGUGCAUUAGGAUCAAAAUUUAUUGAACGAGGAUUAAAAGUGUGCCUAAGGAGAGGAGUAAUCAUGCCCUCCUGUACCACUCUCUGAAAUAAACUGGCAUAUGAUUCUCCAAUUGGUGUGAAGUUAUCUCUCAACUUUUGCCCCAUUUUAUUAUUUGGUUUGGAUCGAAAAUCGGGCCUAGAAGGGCUUUCGUAUAUUUAUGGAAUUGAAGGAUGACUCUGAGGAGUUGGUGUGCACCAUUGUGGGUAAGAUGAGGGUUGAACAUAUGGUUGUGCAUUAUACAUUGGAUAUGAAGGUGGGGUACUGGAGUAUAAUGGACUUUGGAGGUGAUUAUGUGGAGCUUGGGCAUGAACUUGGGCUUGAGCCUGAGAGCGAUGAUGACGUGGUCUUCUUGAUCGCUCCCGCUGUCUAACUAUAAUAGUAGAUGCAUCUUCCUCAUUCUUCUUCUCCCUAACACUUCCUGAACCUUUUUGAAUUGCUUGAGUAGUUGCUUUUAAUGUUGCAAAACUCAUAAUGCGAUCGGACUUAAUUUCAUCCUCUAUCAUCUCUCCCAUUUUGAGGACCUCAAUAAAUGGCUUGCCUAAUGCAGGUAACAAAUAUUGCUAAUAUGUUUCAUUCUGCGCUUGAAUAAACACCUCCACUAUCUUACUUUCUUUCAUUGGCGGUUUUACCAUAGUCGCUUGUUCACUCCAUCUAAUUGCAUACUCCCUAAAAUUUUCAUUAUUCUUCUUCUUUAUAUUAGUCAGGGAUUUCUCAUCAGGAAUCAGCUCAACAUUGUACUGAAAUUAUUGCACGAAUUCAUUGGCCAAGUUAUCCCAACUACUCCACUUGUCAAUGUCUUGAUCCACAAACCACUCUAAGGCUAAACUCGAAAGGCUCUCACCGAAAUAAGCCAUGAGUAAUUCUUCUUUACCUCCGGCACCUCUUAAUUAGUUACAAUAAUGCCUUAAGUGUGCCACCAGAUCACCGGGCCCUUCGUACUUGUCAAAUUUGGGCAUUUUGAACCCUAGCAGCAAAUGGACAUCUAAAAACAUACACAAAUCUUUGUAUGAAACACUUUUUGGUCCUCCUAAUCCUUGUAUAUUUCUCAUACUCUGAUCCAAGCUUCUUACUUUCCUAGUCAUCUCCUCUUGUUCCUUAUUCUUAAUAAUCUUCUCAAUCACGACAGGAGAAUCGUGUUGAUGAGCAUGAUAUUGUGGAUUUUGAGGUUUAAAAGUCAUUUUAGGAGAAUAUAACGGAUCAUGACUUGGUUUCUCCUUAUUCUUAUGUGCUGUCGAUUGAAGGCCCACAGUAGCUGAUGCUACAGAAGUGAAAAAUGGGUUAUUUGUGACAGACAAAUUUGGUGGAAGCAUGGUAGAAGUACCAGCAACGCCAAACAUGUUAACAAAUAGGCCGAAUCCUAGUGGGUAAAAUGGAUCGCCAGUUUGAGCUUGGGUAGGAUUUGGAUCAUUUGUAUUUGAAAGUCCCAUGGGUUGAGGAAGGUGGGGCUUGUCCAUUCAACCAAGCUUGGUAUAUUUUUGUCAUCUAUUGUUUUAAUAACUCAAUCUCUUCCAUUGAUGCUAAUUCUUCCGAAAUCAACUGAUUUUGCUCCUCCUCACUGUCAGACCCUACACCCUCUUUGUGGGUCAUUUUUAUUUUUCCCUUGUAUCUAGUGUUGUAUGAAUGUGAUGCCAGUUUAAACCACAAACCAACCACUAACUACUCUUAUCAUUCUAUGACCAAGUGAUACAGGAAUAAUCAUGGAUAUGGACUUAGGAGAGUGCGUGUUGGACCCGAGCCUUAGCACUUGCAAUUGAAGUGUAAAAGAGGCCCAAAAUGCACCCAAAUCAGCCCAUAAAUUACACUAGAUGGGUGCCCACUUUUUGAAGGGCCUUUUGGUCAUUUUAACUUAUAUUUUGUUAUAGCUAUAAAAGGAACAUUGUAGGGUUUUUAGUUUAGUUUAUGGAUGAAGUUGUAAGUCUUACAAGACAAAGAAACACAAGUCCUCUUUCCUUGAGGCACCCAAAAUCGAAAUUAGGGCUUAGACAAAUGUAGAAUCACUUGUGUUUGUAUUUGCUUGGAAACAUUGAUGCUUGGAAGGUGAAUUCUGAUCUUGUGUCUUUGUAAGAGAUAGGUUUAUUAUUGUGUGUAGUGUUAAGGGUCCAAGAGUUACCAUUCUUGGGUUCUUAACAUUAUACCUUUAUGUGGUCUAUCUAUCUAUCCUUUUUUCUUUUAUAAUCUUGUAUCCGUUUUGUAUCUUGUAUUGUGAAGCCAUUUUUAUUGUUGUUGUUGUUGUUCUCAUUGUUGUUUCAUCUUGUGUUGUUAACUUAGUUUGGUGUUGGCUGAAAAAGGUGUCAAACACCUAGUUAUAUUAUCCUUCUUAUAUUUCAUUCUUGAAUCCGAGAGUGGUCUUCAAAAGGGUCCUCGAUUCUUUGAAUUAGUGGACUGGUUUUGGAGUGUGUUUGGACUGUUUUGAGCCAAUUUUGUGUGUUCCUUGGUUUUAUUGUGUCAUUUGGUAUCAAAGCCAUCUUUGGUUUUGUUCUUACAAUACCAAUCUUGGGCUUUCUUGCUAAGAAAAUAAUAAUAAAAAAAAGACGUGUUCUUGAGCUUGAGAUCUUGGCCGAGAAGUUGAACUUGUUGUUGUUGUAUCUUGGCUGAAUGUUGUAUGUCUAGGUCUAGGAUUUAUUUUUCUUGUGUUGUUGUUUCAAGUGUUACUAUUCUUUUCCAUUAGCACUUUGAGUCGAUCUAGAUUUGAGCUUUAAAAAAUUUGAUGUUGUUGUUGUGAACAAGACCAUGGCUGUGUGUUGAAGUUGGUGUUCUUGGACGUGUGGACUUGUUGUUAUAGUAUUGGUUGGAUGUUGUUGGUGUUUUGUUUUGUUCUUGAUAAAGUUGUUGUUGAGUUCUUGACAUUUAUCACAACCUUCACCCUUGCUAAAACCAAAAUAUAACACCAAAAAGAACCUUGGCCAUGUGUUGACACUAAAAUUGGCCGUAAUGUGUGUUGAUGGUUCCUGUGGGGUGGAAAUUAUUGUUGUGUUGUUGAUGUGUUCUUGAAGUUUGUUGUGGUGUUCAUCUUGUUCUUCAUCUCACCUUACAACUUAAGACAACCAAAGUGUAAUACAGAUUCAAAAAGAUGAACCUACAAGUUGUAAAGUUGUUUGUGGGAAGACUUGGGCCAUCACUUUCUUGACUUGACAUCUACUUUUCAACCACUUUUCUUAUUUCAAGGGACCUUGUUUUGUGGGAAUUGUACAAAGUCAAGUCUUGCCUUUUGAAGAUUAGACUUAAAGGAUAUUUAAGACAUAUAAUUUCGCUCUAAAAUCAAUUAUUUCCAUUACAUAGUAACUAAAGUUUGUAAACUUCAACUAAUGACUAAUUGUGGGGCCGUGACUAAUGGUAUGCUGCUAUGUCACCCAAGUUACUGUUCACAUAAAAAUUUUAAGCUCAAAAUUUGAUCUUUUAGUUUCAUUGUGUUGUUUCUUUAGUUUCAUUUGUUGAUUCCAUUACUAACUUACAAGCUAGUUUUAGAUUGUAAGUUAAUUUUGAAACCGUCCUUCGUGUAUACAUUCCUUUGUGUGUAUUAUCCUUUUGAGUCAUUGUAAUACUUGGUCCACCUCUUACUGCCUCAUAAAGUACAAGAAAGGUUACGACACUUGUGAGAUCAAAGUGAGAAAAAAUUCGAGAGCCAAAACAAUAGAGAGAGUGUGUGAGGACCAUUCUUGUACAACUAACUUGUUUGUUGUUUUGUAGGUAACUUCUUGGCCAUAAUUUUGGCCCUCCUUGAUGCUUUGUCCCGAGACCUUGCUAAGGCAAAUACGGGUCUUAAAAAAAUUGACUCAGAUGUGGUAACUAUGCGUGAGAAGUUGGAUCGAAUGGAGAGUCGAAGGAACUCUCGUGCUUUUACUCCCGAAACUUUACUUCCAAUGACCAAUCCUCCAAGACAACCACAUAAUACCACAAGCCAAGCUCCAAAUAGCCCUCAAAAUCGAGAACAAGAUAAACCACUUCCUCCACAAGUUGAUCAAGUCCAAAAAGGAGGACUUGGAAGCCAAUUUCCUCCCAUCCAAGCUCCACAACCAAAGCUCCACGUUACCAAAUCGAGCCUCUCAACCAAAACUUUUCUUUUUAAAAACUGACACAUCCAAGAAGAGGAACAUGGUAGAGAGAGGCAUGAAGGAUAUAGAGUCUACGACGAUGCUUAUAUGAUAGAAGGAGACUUGAGUCGGAUGAGAUUGAAGGACAAUCUUAAGAGGGAAAGGAAGCUGAGGGUCAAAAUAAAAAUAUUGGAUCCGAGACUUAUUGUCAUUAUGCUCUCGGGUUUGGCUAGCUUGUGGACUAUUUUUUUGUAUUUCUUGUGGGCUGUUUUUAGCUCUUUUUUUGAUAUGUCCCUUGUUAUUAUUGAGCUCUCGGGCUCUUCAUGUGUUACUGACUGUUUUUUAGUAGGUUUCCUUUGAAGUGACCAAUUGAAUGAGGUAAAGCCGUGAAUUUUUGGAUAAAUUCCUCUCAAGAUGGAGAGGAUGAUAUACGAAUAGUCAUGGAUAUGGACUUAGGAGAGUGCGCGUUGGACCCGAACCUUGGCACGUGCAAUUGAAGUGUAAAAGAGGCCCAAAAUACACCCAAAUCAGCCCAUAAAUUACACUAGAUGGGUGCCCACUUUUUGAAGGGCCCUUUGGUUAUUUUAACUUAUAUUUUGUUAUAGCUAUAAAAGGAACAUUGUAGGGUUUUUAGUUUAGUUUAUGGAUGAAGUUGUAAGUCUUACAAGACAAAGAAACACAAGUCUUCUUUCCUUGAGGCACCCAAAAUCGAAAUUAGGGCUUAGAUAAGUGUAGAAUCACUUUUGUUUGCAUUUGCUUGGAAACAUUGAUGCUUGGGAGGUAGAUUCCGAUCUUGUGUCAUUGUAAGAGAUAGGUUUAUUGUUGUGUGUAGUGUUAAGGAUCCAAGAGUUACCAUUCUUGGGUUCUUAACAUUAUACCUUCAUGUGGUCUAUCUAUCUAUCCUUUUUUCUUUUGUAAUCUUGUAUCCGUUUUGUAUUUUGUAUUGUGAAGCCAUUUUUGAUGUUGUUGUUCUUCUUAUUAUUAUUGUUUCAUCUUGUGUUGUUAACUUAGUUUGUUGUUGGCUUCAAAAGGUGUCAAACACCUAGUUAUAUUGUCUUUCUUGUAUUUCAUUCUUGAAUCCGAGAGUGGUCUUCAAAAGGGUCCUCAAAUCUUUGAAUUAAUGAACUAUUUUUGGAGUGUGUUUGGACUGUUUUGAGCCAAUUUCGUGUGUUCCUUGGUUUUCUUGUAUCACCAAGUGGCAAACGGGUGAGUAUUGCAUAUUCAACACAUUAUAAUGCCAUGUUGUCUAUUAUGUUUCUAUAUGCAUUCUCCAAACUAUCAUGGAAGGUUUUGUGUUUCAUCCCAUUUUUUUAGGCGCACUUUUCAAAAAGUUAUGAUCGAACCCUUUGGAGGGUUGCCUACUUAUCAUGCCAGGACAUAAAUCAGAUCUUGCGUAGUUCGAAAAAAAUUGAAGAUACAGAGAAACAUAUCCUUUUUUUAAAUUAUUUUAAUAAUGAGAAACAAUUUAUUAUUAUUAUUUUGGAAUUUAUAAUAUAUAUAUAUAUAUAUAUAUAUAUAUAUUUGCAUUCUUUUUAAUUUAGAAGGAAAGACAAUCAUUUUUUAAAGAUCACCGAAUCCAUUGAGGACUGCCUACGUAUCUCAGUAAAAUGAGAAUCAGGUGUGCGUAGUUCUUGAAAAUUAUGUCGUACAAAAUUUAGCCUCAAGACCCCUAAAGGUUCAGAGCUAUUAAGAUUUAUAAUUUUUUGUAAAAACUUAGCCUCAUGAUCCCUAAAGAUUCAGGGCUAUUAAGAUAUUUAUAUAUAUAUAUAUAUAUAUAUUAUUUUGUAAAACUUAGCCUCAUGAUUCCUAAAGAUUCUAGGCUAUUAAGAUAUGUAUAUAAAAAUUAAACUUGAGAAUAAGAAAAAUAAUUAUGAAAGUAAUCAUAUUUUCAAAACAUUCCCCAAUAAAUCUAUGAAUAAUUUUUCAAAAGAUAGGUUCGUACCCCGAAAAAGGGCUUCCUACGUAUCUCAAUUGAGAGUGAGAAUCAGACCCUCGUAGUUCAUGAAAAUCGUAAAACUAUGUUAUUAUAAAUUUAAAAUUUUCCUUUCUUUAAAAAAAAAAAAUUCUUUGAAAAGUAAUUCACUAAAUUUGAGGAUAAUAUAAUCUCUUGCAUUUUAAAGUUGCCUAAAAGCCGGUCAACAAUCAGAUAGUCUUCCAAACAAAUGUCAAAGAGCACGUAGGAUGCACAUGUUGGUCUUUAUAAAGUAGGUCACCUGUCCUAGACAGACCCGGCCCCUGUGCUGAGUCCCGCUAAGUCAAAUGCAUAUGAUGCAAAUAAAGUGACACCUAAUAGGGAUAACCAGAUUCUGAGUUUUCAGUUCUUUUAAGUUUAAGCCUAAUAGGGACAGGUGUCUAGAAUGGCUUACCCGAGCAGACAAUCGAGCCGGGAAGGAACAACUUGGUCGGUAGCAGAGCAACACCGCCUUCGUUGUCAAUCCGAACCCCACCUAACAUGUGUGACUAUAUCCUUCACCAGGUGCCUUGACACUUCGGCUAUCUGAAAAAGAAAGUAGGAUGUAUGCGCUGCAUUCUUUCUAUCCUAUUUCAGAGACUCAAAGGGGGUGCGCAAGAGAAGACAGUAUAUAAUACAGUUCAAUCAAUGUAAAAGCGGUAAAUGAGCGACAAAUAGCACAUAAGGCCAACAAACACAAUAUCAACAACAAUUACAGCAAGUAUAAGUCAAUAUAAAAAGCUUGAAUUCUUAUUAAUCCUCAGCAGAGUCGCCAGAGAUGUCAUACCCCUUUUUCGCCCGAAGGGAUCAAAGUCAAAGGGUUUUUCCAAUUAAAGUGACGAUAUUGAAUAAGGAUUAAUUUUCUAACAUAGAGUCGCCACUUGGAAUUGAGUUAUGGUGUUCCAAGUCACCUUAUUAGAUCCCUAGUCAAAAGAAAAUGACUCUUAUUGUGGUCUGCGAAAAUAGAAGACCGGGUAAGGAAUUUUGUUAACCAAGGAGAAGGUGUGAGGCACCCCUCGAGUCCCGUGGUUCUAGCACGGUUGCUUUAUUGACUUAUACUUAACUAAAACUAUUUUGAUAAAUUGUGUGAAGGCCUAAAUUCGCUCAUUUUAUUAUACCAAAAACUUGUGUAUUAUCUUAUAUUAAAUAAAUCAAUGAAAGUUAAAAAGUAUUUAUCAAGUUAAUUUUAGAAAAAUAUUUGUCAAGGCGUAUUUUUUUAAAUCCUUGAAUUUUGAAUAUCAUGAAAAAAUGCGUACGCCGCAUUCUUAAUUGAGACGAUCAUUUAACGUGCCUAAAGCUGAUCUAGCAUUAAAGACAUUUGUUCAUCUCUUAUAAACUCGAGACAAUUUUAUCUUAUCUAUUUUUAUUAACAAUUUUUAUUUCAAUAUUUUUUCAAUGAGCUUCGGAUUAUUUCGUAACUCGCCUCUCUUUCACAAUUGGAUUUUCCUCUCUUUUCUUUUCUUUUAUGGGAUGAAAUUUAGAACAAAUCCUCAUCUCAUCUCGUUCCCUUACAAAUAAUUUUUUUUUUAUCUAUUAUGAUUAUUAUCUAUGUAUUUUAAUCUUCUUAAACGAAAAGGAUUAAUCUAUAUACUUUGGGGAACAAAUUAAUAUAUAACUUAACAAGACUACUUAAAAAUAAAAUUUUCUUAAUCGUGUAACAAAGUUAAUUAGUAAAGUUACAUUUAUCAAAACUAGUAUAACGAAGUUAACAAAUAAACAAAACAAAACUAGUAUUAUUAGUAUUUUUUAUCAGUAAGUUUCAUUAUCACUAUGUUCCUAAGCCAUAUACUUCUUCAAAUCUUUAGUACAGAAAAAUAAAAAAAAAAAAAAACAAACGAGUCCCUUUUUUCUUAUUUUCAAACAUUCUGCUUCCCUCUUUUUGCGUUUGUGCAUUUUUCCUUCCUUUCUUUUUUAAACUAAUUAAUUAUUCUAGUUUGCAUGCAUACAUGGUUUAUAUUAUAAUUUGUACGUUAACAUGACAAAUAACUUUAUACUUUUAAAUGCUAAUAACUUUAAAAUUAUCUCAUUUAAAGUGCUAAUCCGAUUUGAUCAAUAGUAUUUCGAAUCCACAAACGAAUUAUAAAUAAAACAAAGAAUCACAUAAAAAUAAUAAACUAGAUGUAUUGAAUAGUAUAAAAAAAACCUUCAUUUAUACUUCGAUUCACCAUAAAAAUAAUAGUACAAGGGUUGAAUAAGAACCUGUAUGACGAACUAUGCCAAACGAAAAAAAAACUUUUACAUUGAACCAAAAACUCGAACGAAAACUCCAAACCCGACUUAUCAUUCUUUUCCCAGAUUUAUGUUUUGUUUUUCCCACCGAGUCACUUUUUUUUUUUUUUGCUUUCUUUCUUUUUUUCCCUUUAUCUGUAUUCUCUUCUUCUUUUGUUUCUUGUUUUCUCACAGAUUUUUCCUUUCUUUUUUUCGUAUUUUCUUCUUACUUUUUGCUUUCUCUCAAGUUUUGCUUCUCUCUGUGUCUUGUCCUUGAUCCCUCUCUUAUGUUCUCUCUGUGUGUAAUAUAUAGGGGUGUGAUGUGGGAGGUUGAGGGAGUUGGAGGAAAAUUAGGGGGUGG